UAAGGAAUAUUGGACAAUGGUCGCAAGACUGAUCCAGCCAUGCCGCGUGCAGGAAGACGGCCCUAUGGGUUGUAAACUGCUUUUGUACCAGAGAAAACCUAUCUACGUGUAGAUAGCUGAUAGUAUGGUAAGAAUAAUCAUCGGCUAACUUCGUGCCAGUAGCCGCGGUAAGACGAAGGAUGCAAGCGUUAUCCGGAUUCAUUGGGCUUAAAGGGUGCGUAGGCGGGCUUGUAAGUCAGUGGUGAAAUCUCUCAGCUUAACUGAGAAACUGCCAUUGAUACAGCAGGCCUAGAGUAUAGAUGACGUUGGCGGAAUAUGACAUGUAGUGGUGAAAUACUUAGAUAUGUCAUAGAACACCGAUUGCGAAGGCAGCUAACGAGACUAUAACUGACGCUGAGGCACGAAAGU
rnacentral:rRNA from 1 species